rnacentral:rRNA from 1 species
GACGUAGGGCGCGAGCGUUGUCCGGAUUUAUUGGGCGUAAAGAGCUCGUAGGCGGUUCGGUAAGUCGGGUGUGAAAACUCUGGGCUCAACCCAGAGCCGCCACCCGAUACUGCUGUGACUUGAGUUCGGUAGGGGAGCGGGGAAUUCCUGGUGUAGCGGGGAAAUGCGCAGAUAUCAGGAGGAACACCAGCGGCGAAGGCGGCGCUCUGGGCCGGUACUGACGCUGAGGAGCGAAAGCGUGGGGAUCAAACAGG